GCAUCCGCAUGUUGGACAGCACGAUCCGGCGGGACAUGCGGUUCUCCGACAUGGAGCUGCGCAGGCGCUCGAAGUUCUUGUUCAUCUGGUACUGGCGGAAGGCUGUCUGGAUGGACUUCUCAACCUUUCGAAGGUGGUGAUUUCUCAGCUGCCUGGCCCAGGAGCCUUGGCCUCGCGCACCCCGUGUCGGGACUGCGCUCACUGCCUGCACCAGGCCUGCCGGCCCUGAGUCUGGAGAUGGGGCUGCAGGCCGGCGAGAGGGACAGGACUCCCCAGAGUGACACAUGGCGUCCUGAAGCCCUGGGGCUGCUCCUCAUCCUGCAUGAGACACAUGGACACCUGGGCUGAGCCUGCUGGGUGGGGAGCCAAGACUGCGCCCAGACCAGCAGGAACAAGUCACCCUGCUAGGGGAGCAGAGCAGCUGCCACCGAGGUCCCGCCUGCCUGUCCAGGGCACCAGGCCAGAGCUGGCAGCACAGACAGACAGGCCCUUGCUCUCAGGAAGCAGAGUUGUCCUGCGCCUCAGUUGGCCGAGCGUCAUCCCAUGCACCAGAAGGUGACGGUUCCAUUCCUGGUGAGGGCACACACCUGGGUCGUGGCUGUGUGUGUAUGUACAGGAGGCAGCUGUGUG